rnacentral:rRNA from 1 species
GUCUACGGCCAUACUACCCUGAACAAGCCCGAUCCCAUCUGAUCUUGGAAGCUAAGCAGGGUCGGGCCUGGUUAGUACUUGGAUGGGAGACUACUUAGGAAGAGUAGGUGCUGUAGUGU